UUCUGGUUGAUCCUGCCGGAGGUCACUGCUAUCGGUGUCCGAUUAAGCCAUGCGAGUCGAGAGGUGUAAGACCUCGGCAGACUGCUCAGUAACACGUGGAUAACCUGCCCAAGGGUCCGGGAUAACCCCGGGAAACUGGGGAUAAUACCGGAUGGGUCACCAGUGCUGGAAUGCUUGGUGGUCGAAAGGUGACGCCUUUGGAUGGGUCUGCGGCGGAUUAGGUUGACGCCGGUGUAACGUACCGGCGUGCCUGUAAUCCGUACGGGUUGUGGGAGCAAGAGCCCGGAGAUGGAUUCUGAGACACGAAUCCAGGCCCUACGGGGCGCAGCAGGCGCGAAAACUCUACAAUGCAGGCAACUGCGAUAGGGGGACAUCGAGUGGCAUCCACCUUGGGUGUCUGUCCAACCGUCUAAAAAACGGUUGUUAGCAAGGGCCGGGCAAGACCG
rnacentral:rRNA from 1 species